rnacentral:rRNA from 1 species
GAUGAACGCUAGCGAUAGGCUUAACACAUGCAAGUCGAGGGGCAGCAUGGUCUUAGCUUGCUCAGACUGAUGGCGACCGGCGCACGGGUGCGGAACGCGUAUGCAACUUGUCUCACAGAGGGGAAUAACCAGUCGAAAGACGGACUAAUACCGCGAACACUUGGGAUAGGGCAUCCUGACCCAUGGAAAUGAACUUGGCUGUGUGAUCGGGAUGCGUUCUAUUUGCUAGUUGGUGAGGAAACGGCCCACCAAGGCGACGAUGGGUAGGGGAACUGAGAGGCUGAACCACCACACUGGUACUGCGACCCGGACCAGACUCGUACGGGGGGCAGCAGUGAGGAAUACUGGUCAAUGGGCGAGAGCCUGAACCAGCCAAGUCGCGUGAAGGAUGACUGUCUUAGGGAUUGUAAACUUCUGUUAUACGGGAAUAACAAGAGCCACGUGUGGCUCCCUGCAUGUACCGAAUGAAUAAGCAUCGGCUAACUCCGUG